UUGUGCUUUCCCAAGAAAAAUGGUGGGAUGGGGUUCUGGGACCUUCAUUCUUUCAACUUGGCUAUGUUAGCAAAACAGGUUUGGAAGCUACUGGAUGACCCAGAAUCAUUAUGUGCUAGGAUCCUCUGAGCAAAAGCUUCAAAAGAAAAAAGGAUCCUCCAAGCAAAACCAAAGAAGGGGCCCUUCUUUAUGUGGCAGAGCAUUGUGGCGGGCAUUCAAACUUUCAAGCGUGGCCACAUUUGAAGAAUUGGGACUGGUGAAAUGGUAAAUAUAUGCGAGGAUUAUUGGAUACCCUUAAGCCCAUUGAGGAAAGUUAUUACACCGAGGAAUGGGGUUCUAAUUACAAAAGUAAUUGAGUUGAUUGAUCCUGCGGCGGAGAAAUGGGAUGAGGAGCUUAUACGAGAUAUUUUUAACCCAGUGGAUGUCAACCGUAUCCUCCAGAUUCCCUUAAGCUACAAUUCUUUUGAGGACUUUGUCGUUUGGAAGGGUACAUCUUCAGGUUUCUUUUCCGUCAGAUCGGCAUACCACUGUGAAUGGGAUCAUCAAUUUCAGAACACCAAUCAGUUGGCUGGCCCUGCAACACCAAACCCGACCUGGUCAAUUCUAUGGAAGUCGCGCAUCCCCGGAAAAAUCAAGAUAUUCUGUUGGAGGGCACUGCAUGGCAUAUUACUACCCCUUAAAAGUAUUCUAACCAAUAGACAUGUCGGAUCAGCUGGUCAUUGCCCAGUUUGUUCACAGGGUUCUGAAGAUGUUAUGCAUCUUUUAUUUGGUUGUGCUCACGCUAAAGAGAUGUGGAGGCUACUCGAAUGA
rnacentral:rRNA from 1 species